CCUACGGGUGGCAGCAGUGAGGAAUAUUGGUCAAUGGGCGGGAGCCUGAACCAGCCAAGCCGCGUGAGGGAAGAAGGUCCAGCGUAUCGUAAACCUCUUUUGUCAGGUAACAAAGGCUGGGACUAGUCCCCGGAUGAGUGUACCUUACGCACAAGCAUCGGCUAACUCCGUGCCAGCAGCCGCGGUAAUCCGGAGGAUUCGGGCGUUAUCCGGAUUUAUUGGGUUUAAAGGGUGCGCAGGCGGGCUGUUUAGUCAGCGGUGAAAGCCCCGGGCCUAAACCCGGGAGGGCGGUGGAUACUGGCGGGCUGGAGUGGGAGAGAAGGACGCGGAAUGCGAGGUGUAGCGGUGAAAUGCUUAGAGAUCGCGCAGAAUCCCGAUGGCGAAGGCAGCGCACUGG
rnacentral:rRNA from 1 species